rnacentral:rRNA from 1 species
UACGUAGGGUGCGAGCGUUGUCCGGAAUUACUGGGCGUAAAGAGCUCGUAGGUGGUUUGUCGCGUUGUUCGUGAAAACUCACAGCUUAACUGUGGGCGUGCGGGCGAUACGGGCAGACUGGAGUACUGCAGGGGAGACUGGAAUUCUGGUGUAGCGGUGGAAUGCGCAGAUAUCAGGAGGAACACCGGUGGCGAAGGCGGGUCUCUGGGCAGUAACUGACGCUGAGGAGCGAAAGCGUGGGGAGCGAACAGG